rnacentral:tmRNA from 1 species
GCUGGCGGCUAUGUCGGUAGAGUAUUUGGUGGAAUAGGCAUUUCGGACCCGGGGGGCAGUACCCCGGCGCCUCCACCACCAGCGGCGGUCGAUUCCCGUGAAGGAAGCGCCGUUGCUGAUGGGGGCGAAACAGGAUCGACGAGUGCAAUAAAGGCCAGGUUGCCGAUCGGUAUGAGACCACCGCAAAGGCUCGUUCACACAAGUGCCAACGAUAAUCAGGCUCUUGCGAUUGCCGCGUAA